rnacentral:lncRNA from 10 species
GUUCGACACAGGCUUGGGGCCGACGGGGGAGACGGAGCCCCAGGUAACACUGGAUCAACAAAAUGAAGAGCUGAGCCAAGUGGUAGAACUCUCAUUUCAAGAUUUUGGUGACUUGGGUUUAAACAGAGUUGGAGAGGGAGAUGAAGCAGCUUUCUUAGCCCUCUUAGAAGAUAGAGGAGCUGAUUCAGUGUAUUCUUUCAUCAAAUACUGAUUGCUUGCAGACUUAACGCCCUAUACCAUCCUCUGGAGACUUCUGCAUGUCUUUAGAAGGAGUGUUGAAGCCUGGAAAUCCCCUCCCCUUCCCCCUCCCCCCUUUACAGUAUCCCCCUCCCUCCACCCUUUCCCAUUCUGAUAAUCUGGCCAUGACUAGCAGAAGCACAGCUAGGCCCAAUGGGCAACCCCAGGCCAGCAAAAUUUGCCAGUUCAAAUUGGUCCUGCUGGGAGAAUCUGCAGUGGGAAAGUCAAGCCUGGUAUUACGUUUUGUCAAAGGGCAG